CGAUGUCAUCAUAAACUUCUCAUGACAAGUUCCAAGACGGACUUGAAAGGGGUUGAAGUCCGCAAGCUUCCAUAAAUACGUACGCUCAAUGAGGCCUAAGCAAUACCAACCUGCAUAGCCAGUCUUGUGAGUGUUUCCUUACAAUUCCUUUCUCAAACUUUCCAUAAUUUGAAAGAAAAGAGGAUGAGUGGCAGUAGGAAAAACGAUGAGAAAGAUAACAAGGACGAUGAAGAAGGAGGGUGGGCUUCAACCUUUUUGAAAAUGGCCGGUGCAGCGGCAGCAACGGCAGCCGUAGUGGGUGGCUUAUACAGUGUCCUGAACCAACCCCAAGCGGAAGUAGCACCAUAUGGAGUGCGACAACCUGAUCCUCAGGUGGUGAUACUGAAAGUGGACGGGUCGCUUCUGCGUGGAAAGGAAUCAGCAGGCUGUGGUGGAUAUGUAAGCAGUGCGUCAAAGAAAUGGAUUUGCGGUUUCGUUCAGAAGUUGGAUCCAAGUAGAAAAGAAGACGAAACUGAGAGGGAGGCAAUUCUAAGAGGUUUGGAUUGGGUUAAGAAAAAAGGAAUGAAGAAAGUUGUGGUGAAAUCAGAUAAUGAAGGGGUUGUGAGUUAUGUGAAUUCUGGACGUAGCUCUAAUGAUUCUGUUGUACGUGGAAUAAGGGAUCUUCUUGGUAGUAGUGAUUGGGAAGCCAAGUUGAGUUGGAUCCCUGGUGAUCAAAACUCAGUUGCUGACAGACUUGCUCAUAUGGCUCAUGGAUUAACUUCUUUCCAUCUCUGUGAGAUUGAUUCUCCCCCUCAAAACUGUGUUUUCCUGCUCUAGUUACUUUCAAUGUUACUUAUGAUCUCAUGAUGUUUUUAAUAUGUGUUUGGUUAUGGUUAUGGUUAAUUAGUUAUGAUUAAGGUGUUUCUACUUGUGUUUGUGUUUGUAUUGUUCAACUACCUACUUUCCCUUUCAACAGAGCGGUUGGAAGCAUGUUUCCACUAUGUUAUAUUAUAUGUAUUUUUUGUGUUGUUUUCUAAUGAAAUGUGUCUUAUGUUAA